GAUGAACGCUGGCGGCGUGCUUAACACAUGCAAGUCGAACGGAAAGGCUCCUGCUUGCAGGGGUACUCGAGUGGCGAACGGGUGAGUAACACGUGGGUGAUCUGCCCUGCACUUCGGGAUAAGCCUGGGAAACUGGGUCUAAUACCGGAUAGGACGAUGGUUUGGAUGCCAUUGUGGAAAGUUUUUCGGUGUGGGAUGAGCUCGCGGCCUAUCAGCUUGUUGGUGGGGUAAUGGCCUACCAAGGCGUCGACGGGUAGCCGGCCUGGGAGGGUGUACGGCCACAUUGGGACUGAGAUACGGCCCAGACUCCUACGGGAGGCAGCAGUGGGGAAUAUUGCACAAUGGGCGCAAGCCUGAUGCAGCGACGCCGCGUGGGGGAUGACGGCCUUCGGGUUGUAAACUCCUUUCGCUAGGGACGAAGCGUUUUGUGACGGUACCUGGAGAAGAAGCACCGGCUAACUACGUG
rnacentral:rRNA from 1 species